GACCGUGCGCGCGAGUUUGAGGAGGUCCACGGGCACCACGGCCCCGGGACAACGCUUCUCCAGGAACUCUUGGAAGCCCUGGACGCCCAUGCUUCGUCGGUGGGCAGACGAGACAGCGGCUGCGCGAGCAGCCAUGAAAAAUGCAGUACACCAAAGACAUGAAAACUGAACUAAGACAACUGCCAAAGACUGAGAUUGACCACUGGGAGACCCACAUGUGGGAAAGACCCAAGGAGUACCACAGAGGCAAUGCAACUGAACUGGAACAACGGACCAAAGAAGACAGGCUAGAAACCACAAGGUGAGAAGUCCAACAUGGGUCUCACCAGACUACAAUCAAGGUGUUGGCAGGGCUUCAUUCCUUCUGGAGUCUCUAGAGAAGAUCUGCUCCCCAGCCUUUUCCAGCUUCUACAGUCAGCCUGAAUUCCUUGGUUUGUGCCCUCUUCCUCCAUCUUCAAAGCCAGCAAUGUUGCAUCCAUUUGAUACUGCUCCCCACUUCACAUCUUUUCUCUGACCCUCUCUUCUGCUUCCCUUUUCCACUUUAAAGGACUGUUGUGAUUACAUUGGGCCCACCUGGAUAAUCCAGGAUAAUCUUCCUAUUUUAAAAUCAGUUAAUUAGCAACCUUAAUUCCAUCUACAACCCCCAUUCCCCUUUGCCAUAUAACCAAACAUAGUCUCAGGUUCCAAAAAUUUGCACAAAGACAUGUUUGGGGGCCAUUAUUCUGUCUACCACAAAUUCUGUUGCGAUCUUACGUAUAUCCUUAUAGUUCACCAUCAACCCUCACUUAAAUAUGCACAUGUAACCAGGAAGUCUGGCCCAAUUAACAACUUCUUUAUUAAGAAGAGACUUAUCCUCUUUUCUCAAAUCAAAGAAGUACAUUUUUCUAACAGUCUCAUAAAUAAGAAACAAUUAUCUCUUACAACACAUAGAACAUGACAGUAUUUUUAAGAUUAUCUUUGUUAGCUACAAACUCCUCAACAAACUCUAGCUCCCAAUGAUUGCUAAUGUUUUAAAAACUAUUUGCAUAAUGUACUGCUAACAGUAAUAUACAAAUAUAUUCAGAAUUAAUUAAAAAUUAUUUGAACACAGGGGCGCCUGGGUGGCUCAGUGGGUUGAGCUGCUGCCUU